CUACGGGGGGCACCAGCAAGGGAUAUUGCGCAAUGGGCGAAAGCCUGACGCAGCGACGCCGCGUGGGGGAAGAAGGCUUUCGGGUUGUAAACCCCUUUUCUUGGUGAAGAGUAAGGACGGUAGCCAAGGAAUAAGUCUCGGCUAACUACGUGCCAGCAGCCGCGGUAAUACGUAGGAGGCAAGCGUUAUCCGGAAUCACUGGGCGUAAAGGGCGUGUAGGCGGCCCGUUAAGUUGGCUGUGAAAUCUCCCGGCUCAACCGGGAGCCGUCAGCCAAUACUGGCGGGCUAGAGGGCAGCAGAGGAAAGUGGAAUUCCCGGUGUAGCGGUGGAAUGCGUAGAUAUCGGGAGGAACACCAGUGGCGAAGGCGGCUUUCUGGGCUGCCCCUGACGCUGAGGCGCGAAGGCGUGGGGAGCAAAGUGGAUUAGAUACCCUUGUAGUC
rnacentral:rRNA from 1 species